rnacentral:rRNA from 1 species
UACGAAGGGGGCUAGCGUUGCUCGGAAUCACUGGGCGUAAAGCGCACGUAGGCGGAUUGCUAAGUCAGGGGUGAAAUCCUGGAGCUCAACUCCAGAACUGCCUUUGAUACUGGCAACCUUGAGUCCGGGAGAGGUGAGUGGAACUGCGAGUGUAGAGGUGAAAUUCGUAGAUAUUGGGAAGAACACCGGUGGCGAAGGCGGCGACCUGGUCCGUUACUGACGCUGAGGCGCGACAGCGUGGGGAGCAAACAGG